CCUACGGGGGGCAGCAGUGGGGAAUAUUGGGCAAUGGACGAAACUCUGACCCAGCAACGCCGCGUGAAUGAUGAAGGUCUUCGGAUUGUAAAGUUCAUUUCUAAGGGAAGAAGAAAGUGACGGUACCUUAGGAAUAAGCCUCGGCUAACUACGUGCCAGCAGCCGCGGUAAUACGUAGGAGGCGAGCGUUAUCCGGAAUGACUGGGCGUAAAGGGGGCGUAGGUGGUUUGGCAAGUUAGUAGCGUAACUCCAAGGCUCAACCUUGGAACUACUACUAAAACUGUUGGACUUGAGUGCAGGAGGGGCAACCGGAAUUCCUGGUGUAGCGGUGGAAUGCGUAGAGAUUAGGAGGAACACCAGUGGCGAAGGCGGGUUGCUAGACUGUAACUGACACUGAGGCACGAAAGCGUGGGGAGCAAACAGGAUUAGAUACCCUUGUAGUC
rnacentral:rRNA from 1 species